ensembl:lncRNA
UGGGGGAGAAGGGUAUGGGUAGGGACAGGGCCAGUUCUGGGGGGAGUUUCAGGGGACAGGAGGAAGACAAAGAGGACUCUCCUCCAGCCUCGUUCACAAACAAGGGUGGCAUCUGGUCCGGUAAAGGCACUUUAAACUUAUAGCUUUCCUCCAUAGGCGACGUCUGGACAGACUUGGCCUCCAGACAACUCAGGAGACAGUCAGUCUGUUGGUCUACAUGACAGACCUCCUUCACUAUCCUCUCUUCAGUCUGUAGGUCUACAUGACAGACCUCCUUCACUAUCCUCUCCUCAGUUUGUAGGUCUACAUGACAGACCUCCCGGUACAGACCCCCUCCACACUAGCCUCCGGCUCCUUAAUGCUAAUAAUAUCUCUGUCCAGCAGGGG